AUGAGGGGCGUGCUUGGUCUCCUCUGUGUGAGCUUCGUUAGCCACUAGCCAGCCAGUUCCCGCGGUAAGGUCCAUCCAUCGUUUUCCUCCUCAUCGCCUCGCCUCACUGAGGUCGGCCUAGGCGGACUCCGCCGAAAUCAAACUCGAGCGAGCGCGCUGAUGGACAGCGAACUCCAAAAAAUGGAGCCGGUGGACAGCGAACAGGACGAGGAGGAGAACGUGUACGAAGUAGAGCGAAUCAUUGAUAUGCGUGUGGAGGAGGGUGAGGUGCUGUACCGGGUGCGCUGGAAAGGUUACUGCUCUGAUGACGACACCUGGGAGCCGGAGGGCCACCUGGAGGACUGUCGAGAGGUCCUGCUGGCAUACAAGAAGGCCACCAUAGAAAUCAAGAAGGAACCCGAGGACAGGAAGCCAAUACUACCUCUGCCAAUCAAGAGCGACGUGUUCGAUGCCGACUCUGAGAGUGACAGCGACAAGGACCAGCCCGCUAACGAUACGGCCGUCAUCAAGAAGAAAAAGAAGAAGAAGAAGUUUCGAGAGCUGGAGGACGAGGAGGAAGAAACUCCUCGCAAGGAGAAGAAGAAGAAGAAAAAGAAGGACAAGUGGCGAGAUGAGGUCAAGCCUUUGCCCGCUCCAGAGACGGACGAGGACGAUGAGGAGAAGACGGCUGAGACGAAGAAACAUGUGAUUAAGUCGGAGAAUGAAGAUGAGGCGCCACCUAAGAAGCCCAAGAAGGAGAUGACCAAAGAUGGCAAGCUCAGGAAGGACAGAGGCGGCGAAGAACCCAAGAAGAAGAAAACCAGGAGGGAGUACAGCAUAGCUUCAUCGGACGAGGACCUCAGCGAAGGCCUGUCGGACUCGUCGGCAAAGAAGGAGAAGCCUCAACUGGACGAGCACCGUUCCAAGCCCAAACAGAAGCUCGACGGCAAGCUUAAAGGCACGAAAGACCCGAUGCAGGACAAGAAGAGCAAGCUGAAGGAGAGCAGCCUGCUCAAGCUCAAGUCGCUGACUGCCUCCAAGAUCCGCGAGGACGCAGGGCCGCCCUCGUCAGACUCCAGCGAUAGCUCGAGUUUGCACCGCAAGGGCAAGAGCAAAAGCCAGGAGGCCAAGGCCGCCGCCAAGCCCCGAGAGGACGAGGCAGCAAGAGAGGACGGCAAAGGCUCCACCAACCUCUUUGAGACCUUCCUGCAAAGUUGUGCGGCCAAGGACCGAGCCCCCCGCAGGCUGCCAGCGGACAAGAGUGCCAGCAAGCCCUCCAAGGUCCUUGGGAAGAUUGAGAAGAUCAAGCCUGUCAAAGAAUCUCCGACACUGAAAGAACCCGAAAGGAUGGAAAAGUCCAAGCAGCCCGAAGCCGUCCCCAGACCGGGCCAGGGGUACGGCUUCAGCCUGGACAGCGACGAGCUGGAAGGAGAGAACGCGUCGAGCAAGCCGAGAACCGGAGACUAUUCCCGUGAGCGCCGGGAGAAGCCAGAGGAGAGCCAGACCAGGCCCGGCUGGGAACCGAAGGGACCGCCAGAAGACAGGAAGAAGAAGAGGGAGGACGGCGAGCCCCGACCCCUCGCGGCGUCUGAUGACCAUGCGGACCAGCAACCAACGGAGCCCACUGACAAAUCCGACAAAGCUCCGGCCACGUUGAGUUUGGGAAUGGAUCUCAACCUGGACUGGAUGACCCUGGACGACUUCCAGAAACAUCUGAACGGAGAUGACGAGAUCCUGUCGGGCCCUCCGUUAUCACCCAGUGAGCUGCGAGAUGCCGUGAAAAGCGGAGAUUACGUGGCGGUGAAAUUGGCGCUCAAUUCCAAAGAGGAGUACAACUUGGAUCAGGAGGCUUGUACUACAGUGGUUGCGAAGAGGUCAUUUGACGAGAGGAGUCCAAGGGAUGGGAUUUUUAUGUCUCACUUUUUAAAUGGACCACAAGAGAACAGGACUGCCAGCGUGAAUGAAAACCUCCAGAAAGGUGCGCUGGAAUCAGAGCGCAGUUCGGGUCAAGGAACAGAAACUCUUUUUGUGUCAACCUUUUUAAAUGGACCACAAGAGGACAGGACUGCCAGCGGGAAUGAAAACCUCCAGAAAGAUGUGCCGGAAUCUGAGGGCAGUUCGGGUCAAGGACCAGAAACUCUUGAGCCCGAGGGCCCAAAAGAUGACAAUUCGGACCGAACGGCAGACGGAAGGGACUGCGACCGAGCGGGAGAAACUGUCGAACCUGACAGGAGUGAGGAAACAACCAAUUUAGUCUCAAUUUCAUCCAAGGAGACGAUAACAGACGACGGCAGAGUGCCAAAAUCCUGCCGGAGGAAAACCAUCGAAGCUAAACAGCCGAUCCGUUCCAGUCAACGGAUGUGCAGGAAGGUUGUUCAUCCGGAAUCCAGCACCGAUGAAGAAGAGGAUAAGGAACCAUGUAAAAAGCACUUUUGUUUCUACUGCCAAAUGCCUUUCAGCCAAUUGGAGAAGCACUUGGAGAAGAAACACGGCAAGGAAACAGACGUGUCCCAUGCCAUUCACUUCCCAAAAGGCUCCAAAGUCAGACAGACCUUGCUGGAUCAAAUCCGCGACAACGGCAAUUACGAGCAACGUGCCAAAGCUCUCCGAAAAGGAGGAGACAAGGAAGUUGUCACACAGACAGAGGUGAAGACCACUAAAAUAUGUGUCCGAGACUUUCUCCCUUGCCAGCACUGCUUCACCUUUUACCGCAAGACCGACCUGUGGCGUCACGAGCGCUCUUGCCAAGCCAGGAAGGGUGAUGACAAAUCUUCCGAAAUUCCCAACGUGAAGACUGCAGAGCAGAGCCCUGCCUCGCUCCUACUGCCUAGGUCAGAAUUCUUGACAGACGGCUGCAGGGAGAUCAUCCACACCAUGCACCAGGACGACAUCGCCCGGCACAUUGUCCAUGACCCACUCAUUUGCAAAUUUGGCAGCACCUUAUUAGCGAAGUAUGGCCACGACAAGUCUCAGUUUGCCUACAUUGGACAGAAGAUGCGACAGCUGGGCCGGUUCAUGAUCGCCAUCAAAGAGCUGGAUGGCAGCGUGCGCUACCUGCAUCAACUGUGCCUCCCAUCCAGGUUCGAAUUGGCAGUGGAGGGCGCCAAAAAAGCCAGCGGCUUUGAUCCCAGUUGCAGCCGGUUCAAAACCUUUUCCCUGGUGUCCAAAAUUGGCUACUCCUUGAAACGGGCUGCCGAGAUAGCCUUCGGCGAGAGUCGCAUGACCGAAGACAGGCUGACGGAGGGCGAGGUGAGGGCCUUCAUACAGUUACUAGAUACGAAAUGGAGCGAACGCUUUUCUCGUAGGUCCUUAGCGCCCUCAACCUCCAAAACAGAGGUCCAGAGGGCAGAGGUAGACGCGGCCGGCGUGACGGAGGACCUGAUUAAACUCCACCGGUUCAUCGCCGAUGAGGGUGAUGAAGCCAGACGGGAGCUGAGGCACAAUCCCAGCGUGGCAAACUGGAAGAAGCUAAGCGAAGCCACGCUAGCCGAUGUUUGCCUUUUCAACCGGACGCGUGUUGGUAACAUCGGUCGGCUUCUUUUGCAAACAUACGCCAGCAAAAAGCUCUGGGGUGCUUUUGUGCCCUCGGCUGAUCAAAUCAAGAAAUGCAACAAACUGGAACUUGAGGUCUGCGGGCACUUCACUCGUGUGGAACUGGAAGGCCAGUUUGGCAGGAACAUGCUUGUCCUGCUCACCGAAAAGAUGACUUUGUCACUGGAUCUGCUGGUGGAAAAUCGCCAAGAUGCUGGGGUGUCCAGAAGCAACCCGUACCUCUUUGCCCGAACUGAAGGGCACUCCUUCAUCCGAGGGCUGGACUGCUUCCGUAGGGCGGCGGUGGAAUGCGGCGUGAGGAACCCCGAAGCACUCUUGUCACCAGUGCUCAGGGAGCAAAUCGCCUGCUGCUGGCAACUCAUGAGCCUCCGCCAGGGCGAGUUGGACCGAGUGGCCGGGCUGCUCGGAAAGAGCAGCCAGGAGUGCUUCGCCUUGUCCACAAAUGCAUCGUUAUUGGAGGAGGCCAGUAAACACUUGCUCCAGUUGGACCGCACGCGACGGCCGAUUCCAGCCAACAUGGUCAGCAACGGAAUGCCACCCAAAGCCGUCCCGAAGAGGCGACCGUGGAGCGAAUGUGAGCAGGCCGCCGUCAAACAUCGCAUGAGUGAUUUUAUAACAAGGAUGAAGGUUCCCGGCAAGAAGGACUGUAACGCCUGCAUCGCCGCUGAACCCGAUCUGGCUGGCAGAUCUUGGACCGAUGUGAAAAACUACGUGCACAACAGCAUCCAGACCAUGCGUCGGCGUAGUAAGCAGCACAAGGAGGCGGGGAAAGGCAGAGCUGCAAAGCCAAAGAAACUGAUCGAGGAAGUCCAAAGGAGACAUUUGGAUGACGCGUCGGCGGGUUGUAGCUUGUCAUCGGGGCUUCCGGACCACCUGAGAGAGAGUUCAAAUUGUUGCAUGGCGCCACCGCCGCAGGUGCCGCCGAAUCCAUACACCCCAGAGAUGUCUUUAAGCUACAUGUCCUUGUGUUCUCCAAAUGCAAAUCUGAUCCACGCCAGUCAGCCGCUGAUGUCCACACUCACGCCACUGAACGCCACAGACACUCAAGUGGUGCCCACGUUCACACCGCUCAGCACCACCAGUGCACUCAUGUCACCCGUAUACGCUUCGGAAACCAAUAGUAUCCAUCCAAUGGCUCCUCCUUAUUCGCCAAAUACCUCAAAUAUGCCUGCCCCGGUCUACGCUGACCCUUUAAACCCCCCGAUGCUUCCCAGUUUCGAUGUUCCCAGCACCUCCAUGCUCCCCACAUUCACAACGCUAAACUCCCCAAGUUCGCCCAUGGUCCCGGCCUUCUCUUCUGCCUUCUCCUCGGCCUUUAGUGACCGAAGCGAGAUGAUGGUGUCCUCCUUCACAGCCCUAAAUCCCUCCACUGUGCCUUCCUACCCGACCAGUCAGCCGAGGACUUCCAUGAGUGCGCAGGUGGUCCCGACGGUCCACGGAGGCGGCAUUCCCGACGAGGCUGCGCCAACAUCCUCAGUUCAACAAAAGUCUUCGCACAAACAAACGCCGUCUACAACGAAACCCCAGAAGAGGCACAAAAGGUUGUGGAGCACCGAGGAACAGGCAGCCGUCCGGCGGCAGUUUGGAGACUUGUGCAAACUGGCUAAAGUGCCGGGAAAAAAGGACUGCGAUGCGUGCUUGGCAGCUGAGCCGGCUUUGAAUAGCCGUACAUGGAGGGAAGUCAAGUAUUUUGUCCACAACAACAUUCAGUCCAUGAAGAGACGAGGUCUAAUGGCAGCUCUGCCAAAACUGACUGAAGAACGCAAACAGGAACUAGAGACCCCGGCGUCCAACGCGGAGUGCGAUGGUCCAGUGUACCUGUCGCUGUAACUAACGCGACCUGACAUGUUGGGAUAUGUUGCGGCAUGAGUUUAGUAACUGGAUACAAACGUUCAGGUUUAGCGGUCCACACACUACGGUUCAGGUCAGGUGCGUAAGUAGCAUGCCAUAGCUGCAGCCGCUAUGUAAUUAAUAGGGGUGUAAUGGUACGUUGAAAAAGCUUGGUUUGGGGACAAAACUUGGUUUUAAGUUGAUUGAGAUGAGGGAUGAGCUGCUGUGCAAUGGGAAAUUGUCUAGCCAUCUCUCCUUUUUCUUUACUGCUUAUCCUUUUCAGUUAUAAGUGAGCUGGAUCACCGGCCAACCUUGUACAUAAGGGAUGUAUUCUCUCUCGAACAAUUGAAGUCAAUAUUAGUCACGAUUACAGGAAAGGCUUAUAUGAAACGACACUGGGCCAUAGAUGUCAAACAACAUACACACUAAAUGUGUAAGAUUGUCAUUAUUUUCCAUAUGUUGAAUGCAUUCAUUUCAAAACCCAAUGAUUUGGAUUUCAUCACACCAAUUUCAACCAUCAGUCGAUGUCCCCAUAUCUGCACUUAAUUCACUGUCCCAAUGUUGUUGGCCCAAGUAUAAGUAGCACAGUGUUGCCAUAUUCAUUUUAAUGAUCUAUUUAUAAUUAUUUUUAACCUUGUACAGCAACGGUGUAGAACGAAUGUAGUGCUGUUGAGAGAAUGUUGUUUGAGUGAAACAAUACAACAGUGGUUGUAACAUUUGAUUUCCAAAAAUUUCCAGCCAAACCUCACCAUAUUUUUUUUUCCCCCGGGUUCCCCUCGAGUGGUUCCUUGAUGUGGUUUCUCAAGUAUGAACACUAUCUCAUCUUUUUGGAAUCGAGUCCCAUCGAUUAAUCGAGUACUUAGAUCAAAGUUGAUUUUUGCAUUCACUUGCAUUGAAAGCGCACCGGCCGGCGCUUGUCCUCCAUCACUUGCGGUGGCUUGGCAAGAUCUUCGAACGUGUAAUUGUCCGCUCUGUCAAAUUAGCUAACAUAGAUACGUUUCUUUGUGUGGCCGGUUGUAGAUGUGCUGUGGUGGUACACAUUUCACUUGACCUUCCUUUGCAAGUCUGACAUGAUCCCAAAAUUUGGACACUUUCUGUCUUUUGCACUUUCCUACUCACGACGAUCGCACAACUUAUUUCUACUUGGAGUGGUCCGCGCGACCGCAGUGGUGUCAUUACGUUUGGAAAAUUGAACCAUGUGAAGGUUGGCGGCGGACAUUUUGCCCCCACCUUUGUUUGUACAUAUUCGGUUUGUCAAUGUAGCCCUUGGAUCUCAUCCAAACUUGAGUCCGGCAUGUCUUUCCCAGAUCUGGCUUUGACCCUCCGAUAUUUGGCUGCAUCCAGCACACAACCAAACCUCACAAAAAUUACAAUACAGUGGAUACAUUUGUCCUCUAGGAAUGAAAACCUUCCCGAUCUCCAUUUGUUCAUCCACAACAAGUGUGUUACAGAUCUCUUCCAUUAUAUCCUGAUGUAGUUUUUACUGUAUUUAGCGUGGGGAAAAUCACUUAAAAGCCUCCAAUAUUGCCGAGCCAAUUUCAAUAUGUUCUUCCAACGUUGAUGGUAAUACCCAGCAAAAAGCGAGUACUUUUUUUCAAUGUUUGUAUAUGUUGGCCCCAGUUUAGGCCUUGGAUGAUGUCUCGUGAGGAACUUAGAACCUGUGCUUGUACAAUAAAACGUUUCUUGUCUUGACAGUCCCCCGA